rnacentral:rRNA from 1 species
AUUGAACGCUGGCGGCAUGCUUUACACAUGCAAGUCGAACGACAGCGGGGAGGAGCUUGCUUCUCUGCCGGCGAGUGGCGAACGGGUGAGUAAUACAUCGGAACGUGUCGAGAAGAGGGGGAUAACCACCCGAAAGGGUGGCUAAUACCGCAUAAAUUCUGAGGAAGAAAGCUGGGGACCUAGGAAUAGGCCUAGCGCUUUUUGAGCGGCCGAUGUCGGAUUAGCUAGUUGGUGAGGUAAAGGCUCACCAAGGCGAAGAUCUGUAGCGGGUCUGAGAGGAUGAUCCGCCACACUGGGACUGAGACACGGCCCAGACUCCUACGGGAGGCAGCAGUGGGGAAUUUUGGACAAUGGGGGCAACCCUGAUCCAGCCAUGCCGCGUGUAUGAAGAAGGCCUUAGGGUUGUAAAGUACUUUUGUUAGGGAAGAAAAGUCAGCUGUGAAUAAUGGCUGAUACUGACGGUACCUAAAGAAUAAGCACCGGCUAACUACGUG